UGGAGCAUGUGGCUUAAUUUGACUCAACGCGGGAAAUCUUACCGGGUCCGGACACACUGAGGAUUGACAGGUAACAUCGAAUACACGACCUCUUGUGUACUCGUAUAAAUAUGCUAGUCCUUUCAUGAUUAUGUGAUAGGUGGUGCAUGGCCGUUCUUAGUUCGUGGAGUGAUCUGUCUGCUUAAUUGCGUUUCACUAUUGGGUUUAUAUUACAUAUAUCUGUAUAUCGCUUUGACCCUGUCUCUUCACUGAGAUACUGCGUGUCUCACAAGCAUACACAAUAUAUAUUAGACCCUGAAAGCAACGAACGUGACCGCAACCUCUUGUUGCUUUCAUACCCAAAUAUAUGUGUAUACUCGUAUACUCGUAUAUUAAGAAAGCCUCGUAUAUAUCAUAAUACGAUUUUCUCUCACGAGUAUUUUUGUAAUAUUGGUAUAUAAAACUAGAGGGACCGCUGUUAUCUUCUUAAACCAGAGGAAGGUUGCGGCAAUAACAGGUCUGU
rnacentral:rRNA from 1 species